UACAGGGGGUGCAAACGUUGCUCGGAAUUAUUGGGCGUAAAGCGCGCGUAGGCGGCUACUUAAGUCGGAUGUGAAAGCCCCUGGCUCAACUGGGGAAGUGCACCCGAAACUGAGUGGCUUGAGUACUAAAGAGGGUCGCGGAAUUCCCGGUGUAGAGGUGAAAUUCGUAGAUAUCGGGAGGAACACCGGUGGCGAAGGCGGCGACCUGGGUAGAUACUGACGCUGAGGCGCGAAAGCGUGGGUAGCAAACAGG
rnacentral:rRNA from 1 species